GACGAACGCUGGCGGCGCGCUUAACACAUGCAAGUCGAACGGAAAGGCCUGCUUUCCCUUGUGGAUUGCGGGUACUCGAGUGGCGAACGGGUGAGUAACACGUGAGUGAUCUGCCCCCAACUUGGGUAUAAGCCUGGGAAACUGGGUCUAAUUCCCGAUAGGACUGCAGGGUGGUGCCUGUGGUGGAAAACGAUUUUCUAGUGGUUGGGGAUGAGCUCGCGGCCUAUCAGCUUGUGGGUGGGGUAAUGGCCUACCAAGGCGGCGACGGGUAGCCGGCCUGGGAGGGGGGACGGCCACAUUGGGACUGGGAUACGGCCCAGACUCCUACGGGAGGCAGCAGUGGGGAAUAUUGCACAAUGGGCGGAAGCCUGAUGCAGCGACGCCGCGUGGGGGAUGACGGCCUUCGGGUUGUAAACUCCUUUCGACCGCGAGGAAGCCACCUGGUUGGAAGGGUGGUGACGGUAGUGGUAGAAGAAGCACCGGCUAACUACGUG
rnacentral:rRNA from 1 species